ensembl:processed_transcript 4930469K13Rik RIKEN cDNA 4930469K13 gene
GACUGUUGAAGGUUCGGCCUCACCAGAUCCGUUGACGAGAUGUUUAAGAAUAAUCAUCAUGACCACAAGCAAAAAGUGGAAGCCAUGAUUAAGAACAUUAAUACAAUUUCUUUGGAGGUGAAGAAGAUGAAAGGACCUGACUCAAUACCAAUCACAUCUCUUGCUCCCAUGAAGCCUCUGUCAUGUGCUGACCUAUAUCUACUGAGCCUUCAACAUCUGGCUCUGAGAUCUCCUGAAAAUGUGUUCAGCUUACACCUGCCUCCUCACUGCUCUGAAGAUCUGGGUUCCUAAGGGGAUCUGGCUGAUGAUGGUGUACUUUAUAUCAGUACAGAGGGAAAGAGCUGGGUACCCAAGAAGACCCCCUAGUUAUGCAUUUAUCUGACAUGAAAAUGAUUCGGGAAAUGAUUCUUGUAGGUAAGGAGAUAAUCUAUGCAUUGACCCUUCUGAGACACAGGGGCAAUGCAGAGAAGCAAAACCUUCUCUCUAUGCUUCAGUGAGACUCUGAAGGACUCUACAGAGCAGUUAUUCUCAACUGUCCUAAUGUAUCCUUUAGUACAGUUCCUCAUGUUGUGAUGACCCCCAACCAUAAAACUAUUUGCAUUGCUGCUUC